rnacentral:lncRNA from 13 species
AUGAUUUCUUCCCUUGCUCAUUCAAGUUGUUGGCAGAAUAGUUUCUGCAGUCCCAGGGCCGAGUUCCCUGUCUCCUUGCUGGCUGUCGGCCCAGGGCCAUUCCCAGCUGUCUGCAUUUCUCAGCUCUGUCUCCUUGGGGCUAAGGAGAGCAAUGAUACAUUCCUCCAUCUUCGAAGCCAGCAAGGGACUCAGGAUUACAUCCGUCCAGUCGGACAGUCCAGGAUCAUCUCUGCUUCUGGAAGUCCUUGGCCCUCAUCACACCUGCAGACUCUCUUUCCACAAACACUAACAUAUCAGAGGCUCCUGAGGCUACCGUUACCGAACAAAAGGAAUUCAACGCAUUAGAAACCAAUACUAUGACACCAGGUUUUUGAGAAAAGGCUUUUUAUUGAAAUACAAAUAUUUAAUUUUAAAUAUAUUAUCAAUAUGUUGUCAAUUUCUAAGGAGACAGCAGUAUCAAGCUUGAACCUGUCUCCCUGUGAGGGCUUUAAUGCGGGAUUUUUAUUAGGAAAAGUUCAGGGGGUGGAUUCUAAGAGUAGCAUGUGACUGGGGGAAGCAAAGGGAAGGGCUGGGAAGUUCUUUGUCAGGUGCAGGUACCUCUUCAUGCUAUUUUGUGGGUCGCCCAUGCGGUCUCGGGGGCAGUGGAAACUCAGGCUGUGGCUUCCACAGGCUGGCUUUGUCUGGACGCCCGUCGGCCGUCUUGGCGGCAGCUGGCUUCAGCCAGUUCUCUCUUGUGAGCAGAGGGAGCUUCGGUAUCUCAGCAACUUGUUUCUUUUCUUAUCCGCCAUCCUGCAAACUCAAGAAUUUCUGUUAGUCAUCGGUUUCUUUAAGUCUGUGGGGCAUGAUUUUGUCAGGACGCCUUUGGGAGACCAGUAUUCUGCCUGGCACAGCACUCUUCUGGGCCCCACUGCCUUGUAGGUGGAGCCUUUAUUCAGCUUUUCUAGUCACCACAGGGCCACGGUCAAGGACAUCUUCUCUUGCAGCCUGGGCAACUUGAUCUGUGACUUGAGGGCAUCAGAAUGGGUUAGCGUUAGGAUCUUCUUCAGCUCCAAAAGUUAAGAGACAUUGAGAUGAUUGAGGGCAAAUUGGCCUUUUGAAAACACAGUAGUCUUCCCAGCUGGCUCAAUUAGGACUGGUAAUUAGUUGAUUAAUUGAAAAUUAAUAAUGUGGAGAAUCAUAAAAGAAAAAAAUAAAACCAGACCACAAACACUGAGGCUUAAAUCC